rnacentral:rRNA from 1 species
AUAUAACUAAGCGGUGGAAAAGAAACUAACUAGGAUUCCCUCAGUAACUGCGAGUGAAGCGGGAAGUGCUCAGACUGAAAAUCUUCGGAAUUGUAGUCUGUCGAAAUCAAGUCAGCUGAUACUAGAAUAGCAAGUUUCCUGGAAUGGAACGCCGAGGAGGGUGACAGCCCCGUCUACCUACUCUAGUAUGGUGUACGACUGGUUUCUAUGAGUCGAGUUGUUUGGGAUUGCAGCUCUAAUCAGGUGGUAAAUUCCAUCUAAAGCUAAAUAUUGGUGGGAGACCGAUAGCGCACAAGUA